rfam:Heligmosomoides polygyrus genome assembly, scaffold: HPBE_scaffold0015496
GCGCUGGUGGUGUAAGGCUAGCAUCGCUGCCCGGAAAGCAGAAGGUGCGGGUUCGAGUCCCGCCUGGCGCA